AAUUCUCAACCUAUCUAGCUUUUCGAAGUUAGUUAAGGCUUGGAUCUUGGAGGUUGCUGGUUUCUUAGAAUUCAGCUCUUCUGAAAUAUAUUAGCAAAGUCUUUGCUGACCGUCUUUGGUAUGAUAAUUAUCUAUAUCAUGGAUGUCAGCGUCCGUUCAUGGGAAGAAUUUGCUUCCAACAGUCUAUUCAGACAACUCUGACA
rnacentral:misc_RNA from 1 species